rnacentral:sRNA from 1 species
UCAGGCCCCACUGCUGACCGCCAGACCAAACUCCUACAGUUGCCGCCUGCAUCCCGCUCGGAGCGGGUCCGAGCCCUGCUCCCUCCCAGCGCACCUUUUCCACGACACGGAUGACACCAGCGAUGAGAGAGUCUCGGUCCUGAUACUUCUUAGCGCUGGUGUGCAGGUGGCUGGCUUUGAUCUGGACGGGACCCUCAUCACCACACGCUCUGGGAAGGUCUUUCCCACUGGCCCCAGUGACUGGAGGUGAUAAGAGGCAAAACAAGGGAGUGAGUGAGGCCUGGAGUCCACCUCUGGCCCCGGGUCACCCCUGCCGCUUCCUACCUGCCGUAGGAUCUUGUACCCAGAGAUUCCCCGUAAGCUCCGAGAGCUGGAAGCCGAGGGCUACAAGCUGGUGAUCUUCACCAACCAGAUGAGCAUCGGGCGCGGGAAGCUGCCAGCCGAGGAGUUCAAGGCCAAGGUGGAGGCUGUGGUGGUGAAGCUGGGGGUCCCCUUCCAGGUGCUGGUGGCCACGCACGCAGGCUUGUACCGGAAGCCGGUGACAGGCAUGUGGGACCAUCUGCAGGAGCAGGCCAACGAGGGCGCGCCCAUCUCCAUCGGGGACAGCAUCUUUGUGGGAGACGCAGCCGGACGCCCGGCCAACUGGGCCCCGGGGCGGAAGAAGAAAGACUUCUCCUGCGCAGAUCGCCUGGUGAGGCCCCUGCCCGGCGCCCGAGCCCGACCCCGACCCCGACCCUGGCCUGUGUCUGAUGUCCGUCCUCAACCCCUAGUUUGCCCUCAACCUUGGCCUGCCCUUCGCCACGCCUGAGGAGUUCUUUCUGAAGUGGCCAGCAGCCGGCUUCGAGCUCCCAGCCUUUGAUCCGAGAACUGUCUC